AAUCCCUAUUCAGGAGGCUGAGGCAGGAGAAGCGCUUGAACCCAGGAGGCAGAGGCCUCAGUGAGCCGAGAUCACACCACUGCACUCCAGCCUGGGUGACAGACUGAGACUCCAUCUCAAAAAAAAAAAAAAAAAAAGAAACAAUAAUUAUAAAAUUUAAGAGUAGUAGCCUCUGAGGAGGGAAAAAGAAAGAAGUGACAAUAAUGUCC
rnacentral:lncRNA from 10 species